rnacentral:rRNA from 1 species
UAAUCUGAGAGUAUUCUAAAAAUAAAAGUUAAAACUUUCAACAACGGAUCUCUUGGUUCUGGCAUCGAUGAAGAACGCAGCGAAAUGCGAUAAGUAAUGUGAAUUGCAGAAUUCAGUGAAUCAUCGAAUCUUUGAACGCACAUUGCGCCUAUUAGUAUUCUAGUAGGCAUGCCUGUUCGAGCGUCAUUUCAACCCUUAAGCCUAGCUUAGUGUUGGGAGUCUACGGUAAAACGUAGUUCCUCAAAGACGUUGGCAGAGCUCGGUCGAUCUCUCAGCGUAGUAAUUUUCUCUCGUUGUGGAAGACGGUCGGGCGAUCGCCAGGAAACCUUUAUUCUUUUAAUGGUUGACCUCGGAUCAGGUAGGAAUACCCGCUGAACUUAAGCAUAUCAAUAAGCGGAGGAAAAGAAACCAACAGGGAUUGCCUCAGUAACGGCGAGUGAAGCGGCAACAGCUCAAAUUUGAAAUCUGGCCUAGCCCGAAUUGUAAUUUGCAGAGGAUGCUUUUGGUGAGGUGCCUUCCGAGUUCCCUGGAACGGGACGCCAUAGAGGGUGAGAGCCCCGUACGGUUGGAUGCCGAGCCUCUGUAAAGCUCCUUCGACGAGUCGAGUAGUUUGGGAAUGCUGCUCUAAAUGGGAGGUAAAUUUCUUCUAAAGCUAAAUACCGGCCAGAGACCGAUAGCGCACAAGUAGAGUGAUCGAAAGAUGAAAAGCACUUUGAAAAGAGGGUUAAAUAGCACGUGAAAUUGUUGAAAGGGAAGCGUUUAUGA